UUAAGUGAGCAUAAAAAUAUAAUGCAAUCGAUAGCUGCAGUAUUUUUAUGGUACCUAUUAACUUAAAAAGGCUUCAUGAAAAAUAUAGUACACAAGGAUUUGAAUGGUUAUUAUGAUACAGAGGAUAACUCUUACCUUAAUGAUUUUUCGCUGGGCUUCGACUCACAUAAAAGACGAACAAGACCAUUGUGCGCUGGCGGUGUCAUGCGCGCACGACGGUGCGCCGGUGUACGGCAUCGGGCCGGACAACCGCACCGCACGCCUCUUUCUCGACACUUGCGACGUUCACGAGUAUAAUUGUGACCACAAAACUAAUUACAGGCCAUGCAUCGAACGCCCAGUCACAGAAAUCUCAACUCGUGCAGUCACAGAUACAAACACAGAAGAAUUGUUGGAAAUGAGGUUAUCUAAAUUACUAAUUGGAAUACACACAUCGUCAAAAAGUCCAACCAAAUUAGCAAAAAAAAAUGCCAAGCGUGGACGAAAAAAAAUUAAAAGGAAGAGAAACAUAACCACAAAACUCAAUAAAAAGAUGAGACGGGGAUAAAUGAAGAAACGUCCAGGAAAAACACUCUUGUUGGUAAAGCCGAAUGUACGAUUAAGAUUUAAUCAAGAACAAAACUUAUUUGAUUACAUUUACAUAAUGAAAUCCAAU